rnacentral:rRNA from 1 species
UACGUAGGGUGCAAGCGUUAAUCGGAAUUACUGGGCGUAAAGCGUGCGCAGGCGGUUUUGUAAGACCGAUGUGAAAUCCCCGGGUUUAACCUGGGAACUGCAUUGGUGACUGCAAGGCUUGAGUGUGUCAGAGGGAGGUGGAAUUCCGCGUGUAGCAGUGAAAUGCGUAGAUAUCGGAAGGAACAUCAGUGGCGAAAGCGACUUCCUGGACCAAUACUGACGCUCAUGUGCGAAAGCGUGGGGAGCAAACAGG